rnacentral:rRNA from 1 species
CUACGGGCGGCUGCAGUUAGGCAUAAUCUACAAUGUACGCAAGUAUGAUAGUUUGAGUCAGAGUGUCUAUCUAUUGAUAGACUUUUGCCAAAUGUAAAAAGUUUGGCGAAUAAGGACUGGGUAAGACGAGUGCCAGCCGCCGCGGUAAUACUCGCGGUCCAAGUCGCAGCCAUAUUUAUUGGGUCUAAAACAUCCGUAGCUUGCUUAAUAAGUUUCUUGUGAAAUCCUGGGUCUUAAGUCCAGGGCGGGCAAGAAGUACUGUUAAGCUAGAGACUGGAAGACGUGGGGAGUACGUUUAAAGUAGCGGUAAAAUGCUUUAAUCUUAAACGGACUUACAAUAGCGAAGGCACCCUACGAGGACAGUUCUGACAGUAAGGGAUGAAGGCUAGGGGCGGAAAAGGGAUUAGAUACCCCGGUAGUC